rnacentral:rRNA from 1 species
UGGGGAAUAUUGGACAAUGGGGGGAACCCUGAUCCAGCCAUGCCGCGUGUGUGAAGAAGGCCUUAUGGUUGUAAAGCACUUUAAGCGAGGAGGAGGGUACUGGUAUUAAUACUACCAGGUACUGGACGUUACUCGCAGAAUAAGCACCGGCUAACUCUGUGCCAGCAGCCGCGGUAAUACAGAGGGUGCGAGCGUUAAUCGGAUUUACUGGGCGUAAAGCGUGCGUAGGCGGCUAAUUGAGUCGGAUGUGAAAUCCCCGAGCUUAACUUGGGAAUUGCAUUCGAUACGGGUUAGCUAGAGUGUGGGAGAGGAUGGUAGAAUUCCAGGUGUAGCGGUGAAAUGCGUAGAGAUCUGGAGGAAUACCGAUGGCGAAGGCAGCCAUCUGGCCUAACACUGACGCUGAGGUACGAAAGCAUGGGGAGCAAACAGG